GGUGCGGCACGGGAGCCGGAGGCUCGCACCACCCCUCCUGCGGUGGCCGCGGCUCCCUGCUGCAGCACCGCUGCAGAUGCUGCACGGCACCGUGUGGGCUGCUGCAGCUGCGGCCCCGCUCGCCCUGCUGAGCAGGGCCUGGGACGGUGACCUAAGAGGCUGUUUCGUUGCACAACCUCCUUUCUUUACCUCCACCUUCCUAUUCGUGACAAAGGUGUUCACUUUGGACUUUCUCCUGGGCACACCCUUCUGAAGUGAGAAAGUUUGCCCCAGACGGCUCUCAUUCCCAGUCAUCACUAGCACUUUCUUUUCUCUUGAAACUGGGCACACGCCUCCAGCCACUCCUUUCUCUCCUGGCACUUCCCCCAGUGCCUGACAAAUAAGUUCCAGCACGUCCAAGGGAGUGGAUCUUUAAAAGCCAAAGAAUGCCGCAGCUAAGGAAGAAUUUUAAAUCUAAUUGGGGGCUGGAGCAGAUCUGGAGAAUCUCUAGAAUGGAAGAUCUGAGAGUUCACACAGAUGGCAGGAGAAGGUACAGACUUUCCAGAAAUCUAAACUCCCUCCUACGUGCUCCUCCCUGUCCUGACUUGUAAAGGUUGCUUUGUGCUUUGACGGACAGGAGAGGCCUGGGUUGCAAAGGGCCUGUGUCAAUGCAAAAAUGCCUUACUAUGUUCUAGCUUCUAAUGUAGGGCCCUGAUGUUAUUUCUGGAAUCCCUGGGCCAGGCUUCAGACACACAAGUGUUUAUGGCCAUGUGGGCUGGGGUGG